UGGGAACGUGCCCAAAGGUACGGAACAACUCCGGGAAACUGGAGCUAAUACCGUAUGUGCCCGAAAGGGGAAAGAUUCAUCGCCUUUGGAUCGGCCCGCGUCUGAUUAGCUAGUUGGCGGGGUAAUGGCCCACCAAGGCGACGAUCAGUAGCUGGUCUGAGAGGAUGACCAGCCACACUGGGACUGAGACACGGCCCAGACCUCCGUACGGGAGGCAG
rnacentral:rRNA from 1 species